rnacentral:rRNA from 1 species
CGCGGCCUAUCAGCUUGUUGGUGAGGUAAUGGCUCACCAAGGCGACGACGGGUAGCCGGCCUGAGAGGGUGACCGGCCACACUGGGACUGAGACACGGCCCAGACUCCUACGGGAGGCAGCAGUGGGGAAUAUUGCACAAUGGGCGAAAGCCUGAUGCAGCGACGCCGCGUGAGGGAUGACGGCCUUCGGGUUGUAAACCUCUUUCAGUAGGGAAGAAGCCCCUUUUGGGGGUGACGGUACUUGCAGAAGAAGCGCCGGCUAACUACGUGCCAGCAGCCGCGGUAAUACGUAGGGCGCAAGCGUUAUCCGGAAUUAUUGGGCGUAAAGAGCUCGUAGGCGGUUUGUCGCGUCUGCCGUGAAAGUCCGAGGCUCAACCUCGGAUCUGCGGUGGGUACGGGCAGACUAGAGUGAUGUAGGGGAGACUGGAAUUCCCGGUGUAGCGGUGAAAUGCGCAGAUAUCAGGAGGAACACCGAUGGCGAAGGCAGGUCUCUGGGCAUUUACUGACGCUGAGGAGCGAAAGCAUGGGGAGCGAACAGGAUUAGAUACCCUGGUAGUCCAUGCCGUAAACGUUGGGCACUAGGUGUGGGGGACACUCCACGUUUUCCGCGCCGUAGCUAACGCAUUAAGUGCCCCGCCUGGGGAGUACGG